rnacentral:snRNA from 1 species
AUAUUCAAACAAUAUUGGCUCAGAAUCAGUGUUAGUUCAUGACAGGCUAUAAGCUGCAACACAGUUUGUAGUGAGGACUAUCUAAUACGUCCUCUAUAUUACACUGAUUUUUAGAACAGGGAGAUGGAAGAGGGGCUUGCUCCAUCUGCUCCGUCCACUCCAUGCAUCGACCUGGUAUUGCAGUACCUCCGGGAAUGGCGUACCUCAG